rnacentral:rRNA from 1 species
AGCAGUGAGGAAUUUGGUCAAUGGGCGCAAGCCUGAACCAGCCAUCCCGCGUGAAGGAAGAAGGCGCUAUGCGUCGUAAACUUCUUUUCCAGAGGAAGAAAACCCCCGACGUGUCGGGGCUUGCCGGUACUCUGGGAAUAAGCAUCGGCUAACUCCGUGCCAGCAGCCGCGGUAAUACGGAGGAUGCGAGCGUUAUCCGGAUUUAUUGGGUUUAAAGGGUGCGUAGGCGGAUUGAUAAGUCAGUGGUGAAAACCUUCAGCUUAACUGGAGACUUGCCAUUGAUACUGUUAGUCUUGAGUACGGUCAAGGUAGGCGGAAUGUGUAAUGUAGCGGUGAAAUGCUUAGAUAUUACACAGAACACCGAUUGCGAAGGCAGCUUACUGGGCCAUUACUGACGCUGAUGCACGAAAGCGUGGGGAGCGAACAGGAUUAGAUACCCUGGUAGUCCACGCCGUAAACGAUGAUCACUCGCUGUUAGCGAUACACAGUUAGCGGCUAAGCAAAAGCAUUAAGUGAUCCACCUGGGGAGUACGGUCGCAAGACUGAAACUCAAAGGAAUUGACGGGGGCCCGCACAAGCGGAGGAACAUGUGGUUUAAUUCGAUGAUACGCGAGGAACCUUACCUGGGCUUAAAUGUAGAGUGCAUGAGGUAGAAAUACUUCUUUCCUUCGGGGACUCUUUGCAAGGUGCUGCAUGGUUGUCGUCAGCUCGUGCCGUGGAGGUGUCGGGU